UACAGAGGGUGCGAGCGUUAAUCGGAAUUACUGGGCGUAAAGCGUGCGCAGACGGUUGCGUAAGUCAGAUGUGAAAGCCCCGGGCUCAACCUGGGAAUUGCAUUUGAGACUGCGUAGCUAGGGUGCGGAAGAGGGAAGCGGAAUUUCCGGUGUAGCGGUGAAAUGCGUAGAUAUCAGAAGGAACACCAGUGGCGAAAGCGGCUUCCUGGUCCAGCACCGACGUUCAGGCACGAAAGCGUGGGGAGCAAACAGG
rnacentral:rRNA from 1 species